GCUAAUGAGCAGAUUCAGCAGACUGAGUGAUGUCUCCUCCUCCAAAUUGCUCACAUCAGAGGUCACGGUGGCUCUCUCAAGGGCAUCGGCUUUGUGUUCACUGUGUUUGCAUCAGGAUGGAUAGCCUCUAUUUUUCAGCACUUGUCAGUCUGAUCCCAGCAAGGUGCUGAUCACUUUCUGCACGGAACCAAGCACCCACUGACAAAUGAGCGCUGCUCACACAGCUGGGCACACUGACAUUAACGCUUACCUGCGCAGGGAAAUUGCUCAUACGCUCAGGCAUUUUCAGGAACCAGCCUGUUACAGAGAGUUGGAGGAGAUAUCCUGUGCUCCCCUGUGUGCUGUGAGGAGGAGCUUGCUUUGUCUGCUGAGGGAGGAUGUUGCAUGCUUUUUAAAAACCUCCACUUGACAGUUACUUAACAUACGCCCGUGUUCCCUAUGAAAAGGAGCCAGCACGAUUUAUUUUCUUUCUACAUUUGUAUUUUCCAGCAUUCAGGUUUUUGCUACGCAAGUUUGGAUUCGAUUGCUGCAAGUUUUCUCAUUUACGCUUUCCGGCAUUUUGGCCUAAAGUCGCACACAGACACAGUAACCACCAAAGAAAAUGCCUAAGACCAGCCAUCUCAAUUUGAUUUCUUCCCAGCUCAAGUUGUGCUAAAUUAAGGGCAUUCCAAAUUCGAACACUGUGUAAACAACCUUACACAUACUGUGUUUGCACUGUGAUAAUGAACUGCAGACAGUGUAAUGAAGUGCAGAGUGACUUUGGUGCCAAUGAGAGGACAAAAUCCCACUUAAUGAUUGGAGUGCUUAUUGGAGAAAACAUCUGCAGGCUGCUUUGCGGCACCUCAGCACAGCAGUCCACUUCUCAGCUUCAGUGUACUGCCUGUAGCUAUUGCACUGCAUAAAUUGAGUGUAAAGAUCCAUCUGUAGCAAAAAUCAAGGGGAAACUGUAUCUUCAAGUUAGAUUUUUAGAUUUUAAGACCUUACUCUUUAGGCCUUUCUUUUAGUUUAUUUAUGUAUUUAUUUUGCACAGGCCCAUUCUAGUUUUGUUUUAGUGUGAACAAUAAUGAGGGUUCGUUGGAGCCCUAAGAGAGACCAGAAAUUCAACCUCAGAUCCAAACAGAUUCUCUUGUUUGGAAAAGCUUGAGUUAGGAACUAAUGGCCAUUGGGAUUUACCAGCAAAACCAUGGGCAC
rnacentral:lncRNA from 7 species